CAAUUCCAGCUCCGCCACUCGCCUCCUGUGUGACCUUAGGCAAGUCACCUGUCCUCUCUCCCUCGGUUUCCUCAACCGCGGAAUGGCGAUUCGAUACCCUUUCUUCCCCCGAUGUAGACUGUGAGCCCCGUGUGGGACAGGGACCGUGUCCGGCUUGAGCAGCUUGUAUCUACCCCAGUGCUUAGAAGAGUGCUUGACACAUAGUAACUGCUUAACAACUACCAUAAAAAGGCCCCGGGGUCUGGCUGCGGGGUGUUCGGGGGUGGGGGCGGCGCGGAAUUGUGCUGCAGAGCCACUGAUCUACAACCUGCUCAAACCUCUCCAGCCUCACCUAGUUCGAGAAGCGGUGUCUUGAGGCUGCUGCCCGUGCCCCUGUUGAUACGUUGUGUUGUGUUCUCCCCAGAGAUGACCCGUAUAGCGGGGCCAGCCAUCUGAGCUCAGGGAUCCUGGUGGAAUAGCAUCUUGAGGUCGCUUGUUUUCUGCAUUGGGUAGUGACAGCGAGUGGGCCGAAGCCUCAGAGAACCAACCCAGAGCCCUUAAAGAAAGGAGCAGUAGGUAAAGCCUCAGGAGUGUGGGUAUUUCAACCGCGGACAAAACUGGCCCAACCCGGGAAGGAACAGGCAAGAUAGUCAAGAACAAAGAUUUAAUCCAUCUCUCACGGCACCAAAACAUGUAUAUUCCAAAGAUGGUGCUUUAAGGCAUAUCCUCUCCGGUGAUAACGGUUAAAAAAAUCCAAGUAAGGGGACUUGAAAAGUGACCUUGUUUUAUGGGAGAGAAGCCGACUGAACCUCACCGAGUCCCUAAGGGGACAAAAAUGACACAGGCUAGAAGAAUCGCCCUCUGGUUAUUAAGUACUUUCUGCUAGCCUCAGGUCGCCAUGAGAACUAGCCUCUCUGGACUUCCAACUUCGGCGCACAGCCCGGUGAACAGCUGUUACGACUGUCUUCCUCCCAAGGCACACAGUCGCCUAUCUGUAUCCUUCCUUCGUCUGGUACUGUCUUAACGGGGACGAGCCGGCCGGCGUAACACGCCUUGGGGAAUACCGCUUAGUGCCCAUUCUAGGUGGUUGUGAUUGCUCUUGUUCCAGUGGCCGGGUGGGAUGCCCAGGUAGCGGCCUGAAAGGCAGAACUGAGUGGUUUAACCCAACGAUGGUGAAUUGAACAGGGUCCGAGGGAAAGCGUUCGGAGGGCCCUUAGAGUACAUUACCCGUCACGGCUCUCGUAAACCGACGUAAGGUUUUUUGACUGCCAGAGGCGCCUGAGGCCUCUGAGGCUUCUCAAAGUAGCUUGUCCCACACUCCCUGGCCUGGUAUUACCGCCGGGCCGCGGUUUUGAAUCCAUUACUGGUCACGGGUUUCCCGGGAUCGGGAGCCCCUGGCGAGUGGUGAGCUGUCGAGAAACUGAAACAACCGCUGGGUAAACAGGACAGGGCGAUCCAAGCCUCCCCUUCCACCUAAUAGCAAACUUUUCGUGCUUCUCGUAGAAGCGGCUGGCUCUACCAAUCAACACCAGAACACCGUUCCGGUCUUGUUGUGUAGAGGAAAAUUGCAAUGUAAGGGGAGAGCUGCUCCAUCAGUGCUGAGUUACUGCCAAGUAGUUACCUUUUUCUGAAUGGCUCCCAUCUUGGACCAUCACGCAGAGGCUCACAUGUGGUACACUUGGAAAGCAAUAGGAAGGCCGGGGGCACUUGCCCAGGGAACGUGGGGUGGAGCAGUUCUAAAACUCCGUGUCACUUGUCUCAUUUUCCCUGCCCACUCUACUGCGCCUGCUGCUCGUUCUUUUCCUGACUCGCCCUGCAGGGAAAGCAGCAGUAGCCAGAACCAGAGGGGAGGACCAAGUGAAAGGAGGAAGAGGCACAAGUGCAUUUCUCUAGUUUCUUGGUGCGAUUGAUUUCCUGUGCGGAGCUAACAGUCGUUGCUAAAUUAACCAUAAAACCAGAACUUGACUUCCCUAGUGACGGUCACUCCAUUCCCUGGGGGAGCCGGGUUUCCUGAGUUCUACUCUACAUCAGCCAACGGCUCCUGGGAUGGUUCAGGGAGCGUUACUUCCACGGGUCAAGGUAACAAACAUUUCAACUCUUUGAAAGUAUGAAUCUUUUACUGUUGACGAGACUUGUUCGGGUCACUCUUAAAAUAUGCCACCUAGUCAAGAGAGAGCCCACACCUGACCUAGGAGCCGGGAGGGAGCCGAUUGUUACAGAACUGGAUCCUGGCUUGUUUAGACCUAGGGCAUUUAGACUGGAAUAUUUGUGGUAACACGGUCUCCUGGCCUCAAAUUAUAGACUUUUCUACUUUUUUUUUCCCCCUUGGAAUAGUUUUUCUGGAUGGGGUUAAAACAGGAGAUGAUUGGUACACUCCUCCAACCCUGCCCUUUCAUGAUUACCUAACCUCUCUUCAUUUCUUUAGCCUGCCCAGUGUAGGGUAGAAAAAACUUCAUCGAUGCGGUAAUAGGCUCUUUGCCUCAUAUGGACACCAAACUAGAAGAGGUCACAGGAAGGCCUACAUGCAGAUAAAGUUCAUUCCCGAACCAGCCCUGAGCUGAUGGCUGAGCCCUCUAGGAAAGAACUUUAUACAAAGAAAAUAUAUUGUCAAACAUCCCCAGAGAAGUGGGGCUUUUCCUUGGAGAGAAAUUUGCCCAGUCAGGAAAAACAAACAAACGAAUAAACAAACAAGCCACAAGAGAGAA